AAGGAAGAGGACGUGGUGGAGAAAGAGGACGUGGUGAAGGAGGUGGAGAACGACGGCGACAAGGAAGGGGAAGAGCAAGGGCAAGAAGACAGUCAGUCUCGGAUGAAAUUCGAGCCACUUUAGUUCACCAUGUCCUUGUCCAUGGGAUGACUAUGAGGGAGGCUGGGCAACGAGUACAACCAAAUUUGAGUCGCUUCACUGUUGCCUCCAUCAUCAGAACCUUCAGGGAGGAAAACAGGACACAGAGACGACCACCUGGUGGAGGCAGGUUAAGGCUUUUGUCGGAGGAGCAAGAGAGGGAACUUGUAAACAUGGUAAUUGCAAAUAAUGUAAUCCGCCUGCAAGAGAUUCAAAGGAGAGUGAUUGAGGAUGAUCAUCUUUUUCGAGGCAUAAAUGCCAUCAGCCUCUCCACAAUUGACCGAAAGAAUCAAUUCCGGAUGAAACAGGCAUACCGAGUCC
ensembl:lncRNA